CACAAGCGGUGGAGUAUGUGGUUUAAUUCGAUGCAACGCGAAGAACCUUACCUGGUCUUGACAUCCCGGAGACCCUUAGGAAACUAGGGGGUGCUUCCAUCUGGAAGAAUCUGGAGACAGGUGCUGCAUGGCUGUCGUCAGCUCGUGUCGUGAGAUGUUGGGUUAAGUCCCGCAACGAGCGCAACCCUUGCCUUUAGUUGCCAGCAGUUCGGCUGGGCACUCUAAAGGGACUGCCGGUGUUAAACCGGAGGAAGGUGGGGAUGACGUCAAGUCCUCAUGGCCUUUAUGACCAGGGCUACACACGUACUACAAUGGCCGAUACAAAGGGCAGCGACACUGCGAGGUGAAGCCAAUCCCGUAAAAUCGGUCUCAGUACGGAUUGGAGUCUGAAACUCGACUCCAUGAAGUUGGAAUCGCUAGUAAUCGCGCAUCAGCAUGGCGCGGUGAAUACGUUCCCGGGCCUU
rnacentral:rRNA from 1 species